rnacentral:rRNA from 1 species
CAGUCGCCGCGGUAAAACGGAGGGGGCUAGCGUUGUUCGGAAUUACUGGGCGUAAAGCGCACGUAGGCGGCUUGGUAAGUUAGAGGUGAAAGCCUGGAGCUCAACUCCAGAAUUGCCUUUAAGACUGCCGAGCUAGCAGGUGAGAGAGGUAAGUGGAAUUCCGAGUGUAGAGGUGAAAUUCGUAGAUAUUCGGAAGAACACCAGUGGCGAAGGCGGCUUACUGGCUCAUACUGGACGCUGAGGUGCGAAAGCGUGGGGAGCAAACAGGAUUAGAGACCCCCGUAGUCCCUGUCUCUUAUAC